UACGUAGGGGGCAAGCGUUGUCCGGAAUCAUUGGGCGUAAAGAGCGUGUAGGCGGCUCGAUAAGUCUGCUGUGAAAGUCCAGGGCUCAACCCUGGAAGGCCGGUAGAAACUGUCGGGCUAGAGUCCGGAAGAGGCGAGUGGAAUUCCCGGUGUAGCGGUGAAAUGCGCAGAUAUCGGGAGGAACACCAAUGGCGAAGGCAGCUCGCUGGGACGGUACUGACGCUGAGACGCGAAAGCGUGGGGAGCGAACAGG
rnacentral:rRNA from 1 species